GUCACUUUGGCGGAGUGGUUAACGCGCAGCCCUGCUAUCGUCGGUGCUCAUCAUCGGUCUAUGAUAGGCUGUGACUUCGGUCGCGUAGGUUCGAAUCCUGCAGGUGACG